AGAGUUUGAUCCUGGCUCAGGAUGAACGCUGGCGGCGUGCCUAACACAUGCAAGUCGAACGGGGGCAGAUUGAAACCUAGUGAUAUAUGCCCGAGUGGCGGACGGGUGAGUAACGCGUGGACAACCUGCCGCAUGCAGGGGGAUACCGGCUGGAAACAGCCGCUAAUACCGCAUAUGCGCACGGCGCCGCAUGGCGCCGUGCGGAAAGGGAGCAAUCCCGGCAUGCGAUGGGUCCGCGUCCGAUUAGCUUGUUGGCGGGGCAGCGGCCCACCAAGGCGACGAUCGGUAGCCGGCCUGAGAGGGCGGACGGCCACAUUGGGACUGAGACACAGCCCAGACUCCUACGGGAGGCAGCAGUGGGGGAUAUUGCACAAUGGGGGGAACCCUGAUGCAGCGACGCCGCGUGGGUGAAGGAGUGCUUCGGCAUGUAAAGCCCUAUCGGCAGGGAAGAAGCAAGACGGUACCUGACUAAGAAGCCCCGGCUAACUACGUGCCAGCAGCCGCGGUAAUACGUAGGGGGCGAGCGUUAUCCGGAUUCACUGUGUGUAAAGGGAGCGUAGACGGCCAUGCAAGCCAGGGGUGAAAGCCCGGGGCCCCACCCCCGGGAACUGCCCUUGGAACUGCAUGGCUGGAGUGGGGGAAGGGCAGGCGGAAAUUCCUGGUGUAGCGGGUGAAAUGCUUAAAUAUCAGGAAGAACCCCGGCGGGCGAAGGGCGGCCUGCUGGACCGCGACUGACGUUGAGGCUCGAAAGCGUGGGGAGCGAACCAGGAUUAGAUACCCGCGUAGUCCACGCAGUAAACGAUGAAUGCUGGUUGUCCGGGUCGAAUGAGAUCUGGGCGGCGAAGCAAAAGCGAUAAGCAUUCCACCUGGGGAGUACGCCGGCAACGGUGAAACUCAAAGGAAUUGACGGGGGCCCGCACAAGCGGAGGAACAUGUGGUUUAAUUCGAUGAUACGCGAGGAACCUUACCAGGCCUUGACAUCCCCCCGAAUGGGUGGUAAUGCAUCCAGCCCUUCGGGGCAGGGGAGACAGGUGGUGCAUGGUUGUCGUCAGCUCGUGUCGUGAGAUGUUGGGUUAAGUCCCGCAACGAGCGCAACCCCUAUCCUUAGUAGCCAGCGAGCAAGACGGGCACUCUAGGGAGACUGCCGGGGAUAACCCGGAGGAAGGUGGGGAUGACGUCAAAUCAUCAUGCCCCUUAUGGCCUGGGCUACACACGUGCUACAAUGGCGUAAACAAAGGGAAGCGAAGGCGUGAGCGUAAGCAAAACCCAAAAAUAACGUCCCAGUUCGGAUUGUAGUCUGCAACCCGACUACAUGAAGCUGGAAUCGCUAGUAAUCGCGGAUCAGAAUGCCGCGGUGAAUACGUUCCCGGGUCUUGCACACACCGCCCG
rnacentral:rRNA from 1 species